rnacentral:rRNA from 1 species
GACAGAGGUGCCGAGCGUUAGGCGGAAUCACUGGGGCUUAAAAGCGUGUGUAGGCGGGUCGUUAAGUGUCUUGUGAAAGUCCCAACCGCUCAACGGUCGGAAACUGCUGGGCAUACUGGCGACCUUGAGCCACCUAGGGGGCAGACGGAACAAGCGGUGGAGCGGUGAAAUGCGUAGAUAUCGCUUGGAACGCCGACGGUG